UCAGUAAUACUGCGAUGAUCUGGUCAGGCGCUACGAUAACCACGGGAAACUGUGGCUAACAGGCCUGGAUGAGACGCGGGUCUAUCAGCUAGUUGGUAGUGUAAUGGACUACCAAGGCGACGACGGAUGACGGGAGAUGGGGGUCUGAUUCCGGAGAGGGAGCCUGAGAGAUAGCUCCCACGUCCAUGGACGGCAGCAGGCGCGGAAAUUGCCCACUCUCUUCGCGGAGGAGGCGGUUAAGAGGCGUGAGCACAAGGACCGACGGCAAAGAAGUCGGUGAACGCGAUUGGAGGGCAAGUU
rnacentral:rRNA from 1 species